GUCACUCUGUUGCCCAGGCUGGAGUGCAAUGGCGCGAUCUCGGCUCACUGCAACCUCCGCCUCCUGGGUUCAAGCAAUUCUCCUGUCUCAGUCUCCCAGUAGCUGGGAUUACAAGCACACACUACCACACCUGGCUAAUUUUUGUAUUUUUAGUAGAGACAGGGUUUUACCAUAUUGGUCAGGCUGGUUUUGAACUCCUGACCUCAGGCGAUCCACUUGCCUUGGCCCCCCAAAGUGCUAGAAUUACAGGCGUGAACCGCCACGCCCGGCCAAGAUACCAGAUUAUUAACAGGACCUAAGGCCAUGCCAGGCAAGGGUUAAGUCACGCACCCCUACACUUAAAGAAUAAACUACAGGCUGGUCGUGGUAGCUCACGCCUGUAAUUCCAACACUUCGGGAGGCUGAAGCUGGAGGAUCACUUGAGCCCAGAAGUUGGAGACCAGCCCUGGCAACAUAGUGUAACCCUGUCUCCACACAAAACAAACAAACAACAACAACAGCAACAAAAAUAGCCUGGCAUAGUGGUGUGUGCCUGUAGUCCCAGCUACUCAGGAGGCUGAAGUGGCAGGAUCACCUGAACCUGGGAGGUCGAGGCUGUAAAGAGCCAUGUUUUUGACAUUGCACUCUAGCCUGGGUGAUGGAGAGAAACUCUGUCUAAAAAAACAAAACAAAACAAAACGAAAAGCAAAACACAAAAAUAAAUAAGCUAUGUUUUAAUUGCCAUGAGGUUUUUCUUUUUCUCUAGCCCUGGACUUGAGAUAAGCAAUAUUAAAACAAUUACAACUCAUACAGCUCACAGAUGCUGAUGAACUGACCCCCUGAUCCACCAGCCACAGCUAUGCCUUUGAUUGCAUAAGAGGCUGAUUUCAGUAACUUUCUCCAGGGCCCAUGUGGCAACUCUGGUAAUCUCCGUGCGGUCUCUGACACCCUCAGCCCACCUGUCACCCAAGCUGGAGCCU
rnacentral:lncRNA from 10 species